rnacentral:rRNA from 1 species
GAUGAAUUUUGGCGACGUGCCUAAUACAUGCAAGUCGAGCGAACAGACGAGGAGCUUGCUCCUUUGACGUUAGCGGCGGACGGGUGAGUAACACGUAGGCAACCUACCUAUAAGACUGGGAUAACUUCGGGAAACCGGAGCUAAUACCGGAUAAUAUUUCGAACCGCAUGGUUCGAUAGUGAAAGAUGGCUUUGCUAUCACUUAUAGAUGGACCUGCGCCGUAUUAGCUAGUUGGUAAGGUAACGGCUUACCAAGGCAACGAUACGUAGCCGACCUGAGAGGGUGAUCGGCCACACUGGAACUGAGACACGGUCCAGACUCCUACGGGAGGCAGCAGUAGGGAAUCUUCCGCAAUGGGCGAAAGCCUGACGGAGCAACGCCGCGUGAGUGAUGAAGGUCUUCGGAUCGUAAAACUCUGUUAUUAGGGAAGAACAAACGUGUAAGUAACUGUGCACGUCUUGACGGUACCUAAUCAGAAAGCCACGGCUAACUACGUGCCAGCAGCCGCGGUAACACGUAGGUGGCAAGCGUUAUCCGGAAUUAUUGGGCGUAAAGCGCGCGUAGGCGGUUUUUUAAGUCUGAUGUGAAAGCCCACGGCUCAACCGUGGAGGGUCAUUGGAAACUGGAAAACUUGAGUGCAGAAGAGGAAAGUGGAAUUCCAUGUGUAGCGGUGAAAUGCGCAGAGAUAUGGAGGAACACCAGUGGCGAAGGCGGCUUUCUGGUCUGUAACUGACGCUGAUGUGCGAAAGCGUGGGGAUCAAACAGGAUUAGAUACCCUGGUAGUCCACGCCGUAAACGAUGAGUGCUAAGUGUUAGGGGGUUUCCGCCCCUUAGUGCUGCAGCUAACGCAUUAAGCACUCCGCCUGGGGAGUACGACCGCAAGGUUGAAACUCAAAGGAAUUGACGGGGACCCGCACAAGCGGUGGAGCAUGUGGUUUAAUUCGAAGCAACGCGAAGAACCUUACCAAAUCUUGACAUCCUUUGACCCUUCUAGAGAUAGAAGUUUCCCCUUCGGGGGACAAAGUGACAGGUGGUGCAUGGUUGUCGUCAGCUCGUGUCGUGAGAUGUUGGGUCAAGUCCCGCAACGAGCGCAACCCUUAAGCUUAGUUGCCAUCAUUAAGUUGGGCACUCUAAGUUGACUGCCGGUGACAAACCGGAGGAAGGUGGGGAUGACGUCAAAUCAUCAUGCCCCUUAUGAUUUGGGCUACACACGUGCUACAAUGGACAAUACAAAGGGCAGCGAAACCGCGAGGUCAAGCAAAUCCCAUAAAGUUGUUCUCAGUUCGGAUUGUAGUCUGCAACUCGAAAACAUGAAGCUGGAGUCGCUAGUAAUCGUAGAUCAGCAUGCUACGGUGAAUACGUUCCCGGGUCU